UCUUAGUGUGUGAGGUUGAAAUCCAAAGAACCUAGUCGAUGCCCCGUGCCUUCUUCUCCCUCGUCCAAAAGCUCCCUUUCCUUUGUGCUACAACCAUCUCUCAGGCUCUCAACAUCGUCGACAUCCGACGUCCCAUGGCAUCGUCAACGUUGGCACCACCAUUCUCGUGAUAUUGCCUCCCGGACGCUCGUACGCCGUCCCGCGAUCGGAUACCACAUCCUCAUCAUAGCGCCGCGCCCCUCCCAAGCAAUAUCUUCUCCCAGCUCAUCCUUUUUAUCACCGCUCGUGAAUUCUCGAGCAUCGUGGCCUCCUUCUCCUCCAAAGAAGGUCCUCCUCCACUUCCUACCUAUGUUGCGGAGAGGCUCAAUAUCCGUAGCAAGGAAGAAAGUCUCACUGACGGCGUCGUCGAGCCCCAUGGUCAUCGGAUGGUUAUCAUUUGGGGCCUGAGCCGAGCCGAGCCGACCAAUAACUGCGUUUGAUAUCGGCCCAUUACCAGCAUAUCAAAGACGCCAGCGACAGCGCUGAGGUCUUGGCGCUUACGGCGACGAGAAGGGUGGUGGCUGCCGGAGCGAACUGGAACUACUCCCACUUCAACCAUCACGCUUAGUGCUUUCGAUCCAUCCAUUCUGCUCCGAUGUCACAUCUCUAGCCGCAGGCUACUGCUUCUUCGCCUCAACUCUCGACUAUGCCCUAGGAAUUCAUUCACUGCGAUGGCAUUUUGAGCAUACAUCAGAGGAGAUGACCAGUAGCCCCAGAUCCACCAUUUCUUGAUAUUCUCUGUAAGGAAGAUCAGAACCGAGGUAUUGUCAUUGUGCUGAUGAGGCUGUCUGGCUUUGGUAUGGGAAGUUAUAUACCUCGAGAAAUUAGGAAUCCACCGAGAAUCAAAAGAACGAGCUGUGCAAAGGAACCAAAAGUAUCUGCGACAACCAUCUCCCUCCCAACAGCAGCAAGGAGCCGGAAGAGUCCAGAUGCCAUCUGACUGAUCAAGACUAGCAGCAGGUAAUGCCGAAAAAACCUGCACGAUGAUAACGUCUGUGGUUACUUUUCCAAUGAUAUGAGGAGAUGCAGCAAAGAAAUUCCUGGAGAAAAUGUGCAGAUUUGUUUCAAGCCCUCUAACCUUUCAAUGUUUGGAUCGAAACCAAUGACAUAAUAUGUCAUGCCUAUCCAGACCGCACACUCCAGAAAGGAUAUGGGAAUUUUCAGAAUCCAUGUUGGCAGUGCGUAUGCCCAUGAUGGAUAGAAGCGAAGGUCUCUUUGUUUGUAAAAUAUGGGAAGCUUCGCGAUACUCAUAGCAAGCUCAGCAAACCCAUUGAACAGAUGAGUUACUAGCCCGAGAAACAUGGCACCUAGGAAGAUCACUCCAUCCUCCACCGAAUUCCGAUGCAUCUUUGUGCGAAGGAAGACCGUCAUUGCAAUGGCCCCAAGAAUUAUAAGCUGAUAAUGUGCCAAAAAGGAUCAUGUAAGGCAUCAUCAUAUUAGAAUUGUCGUGUCAAGAGAGCUGCGGUUUACUCACUUGGACAACUUUGAAGAUGUAAACAAAGGAAUUCCGCUUCAUCAGCAACCACUCCCUUGAAAUGCAAGCUUUCAACAAUUCCAUCUUGCUAAUCCCGUAUGUUGUGGUGGUCAAUGCAGCAGGAUGAUUCCGUCUCCUAUCAAAUGGAAUGCUGAGCUCCUCUCCUAGUUUACUGCCAGCAUGGAACGACUGGAAGGCUUCUGCAAACUCAUUGACUGAAAUAUACCUAUAUGGCUCAUCUUUGUUUGCCCAAUAUUGGUGCUGAUCCUUCCUUGAUGUAACCUAUUCAUGCAUAGAGAUGACAGUAUCGAGUUAUGGAAGCAUUCACAAACAAAAGAAUCCAUGCAAGAGACAGGAAAAGGAUUUUCAUGUGGAAUCGCAAAAGAUGUUUCAUUCAUCUUUGACACUUACUUCUUGCAAGAAGUCCGCAGCACCUUUCCUUUCAGGACACUUGAAACCCAUUGCUUCGAAGAAUUGUAGAACAUUCUCUCGUGGACCCUGAUAGACAAUUUGCCCAUCUGAGAGUAGAACAAUGUCAUCGAACAGCUCAUAUGUCUCUGGAGCUGGCUGAAGCAAUGCAAUGAGUGCAGUUCCACCGAGGAUAUGGACUGAUUGACGAAGGGAAUUGACAAUCUGGUAGGUUGUGGAGCUGUCAAGUCCCGUAGAGAUUUCAUCCAUGAAAAGUGCCUUAGCUGGCCCAACAAGCAUCUCACCUGCAUAGAACCAUGGGAUGCUUUCAACAGAUAUCCCCCUUAUCAUUGCGUCUCCUACCAUUGUAUCAGCACAUAUGUCCAGACCCAAGAUCUGCGAAAGAAGAAAUUAGCAAUUGUCAUUGUCUUGGUGAGAAAGCCAAAGUCUCUCUCACUGUCAUUUCCCCGAUGUGAAGAUCAUGCUGCCCGAUAUAAGCCGAGGUCCUCUGAGGGACGAACUCAUCCAUGUCAUGACCAUUGUAAGUCACUCUUCCCGAUACCUGACAUCGAUAGAUAGAUAGAUAGAUAGAUAGAUAGAUAGAUAGAUGCUUUUUCUAUUUAAUACUCGUCCAUAUCACCAUAUCCAUUUGCAAUUUUGCUUCGCUUUUAUGAGGAAAUCAAACCAUAAAGCAUCA